rnacentral:ncRNA from 2 species
ACCUUUGGCUCACGCAAGGGUUUUCUAAGUCAAGUUGAUUUAGAAAUUAAAAGGGAAUCAGGUGUAAGUCCUGAACAGUCCCAGCUGCUGUAAACCCAUUUUUAAGGUUUACUGAAAUUUGCCACUGUCAGUGAAUAUUACUGUCGGGAAGGCUCAGUAAAACCGGGGAAGUCAGAAGACCUGCCUUUGUUUUUAAGAAUUA